GGGUUCAGUGGUAGAGCGCUUGCCUACCAUGCAUGAGAAUCUGGGUUCAAUCCCUAGAACCA
rnacentral:tRNA from 1 species